rnacentral:rRNA from 1 species
UACGUAGGGGGCAAGCGUUGUCCGGAAUCAUUGGGCGUAAAGCGCGCGUAGGCGGCCCGGUAAGUCCGCUGUAAAAGUCAAAGGCUCAACCUUUGAAUGCCGGUGGAUACUGUCGGGCUAGAGUCCGGAAGAGGCGAGUGGAAUUCCUGGUGUAGCGGUGGAAUGCGCAGAUAUCGUAAGGAAGACCAGUGGCGAAGGCGGGUCUCUGGACAGUUCCUGACGCUGAGGCACGAAGGUCAGGGGAGCAAACGGG